GAGACCCGUACCCACAGUUGCCAGCGGCUGCUCCGGCAGGCUGGGUACACUAUGGGGACCGCCUCUGCUAAAGAGGAGGAAGGAGCGGGCGACGGUAGGUCAGUAUGCCCCGAAUUCUCCGGGCUACACGCGGGCUACAAUGGGUGGGACAAUGGGUAUCGACACCGAAAGGUGAAGGCAAUCUCCUAAACCCAUCCUUAGUUCGGAUUGUGGGCUGCAACUCGCCCACAUGAAGCUGGAAUCUGUAGUAAUCGUGUCUCAACAUGGCACGGUGAAUAU
rnacentral:rRNA from 1 species